UAUCAUGUUUAGUGAGCACACUAGAGAACUAGAACUCUUAGUUCUGAUAUUUACUGUGACAUCACACUUUGUUGUUUAUUCUGUGUCCCCUAAACUCUGGAACCAAAAUAAAAUCCGAGAUCACAGGCACAGAACAAAUACAGAAGUGGCAACUUUCUAGAUGGGCAAAAACACAACACAAGGGUUGGUCACUGAAGCAGAUACUCCUGGAGAUGCUGGCUACAAAACGCAGAAGAAUCCCACUGGACAUUCACAUCGGAAGCUGCCAACCAUGUUGAUGCACACUCCAUUUUCACAGACCCCUGGGAUCUCCCGGCACUCAUCAAUAUCUAGAGACAGAGUAGUCAUUCGUGAGUGACAGGACAGCACAUGACCCCUGUGCAGGGAACAGCUACGCGACCUAAUGGCCAAUGGAUCUUACUAUUUUAUUUAACUCCAGAGCUCUGAUAUAAAAAGUGCUGUCUGUAAAUACAUGCACAUAGCUCUAGUGUCAAAUGAUGAAUCUUUUCUAUUAAGUGGCCUAGUCUUCAAAAAAGAAUUGCUAGCCUGUGAAAUGUGGAAUGCCUUGCUUCUCUGACUAGUGUCGACACGUUUGUUUCUAGCGUGAACACACCUGUACAAGUGAAGCCAUCGCCUGUGUAUCCUUCCUUGCACAGACAGCGGUCAAGAAGAACAACUUUGCCAUACAAAACACUGCAAGAAUUUCCAGUGAACACUUGAAUAGUGGCGUGAAAAAGAAACUGGGUCAAGAAAAAACCUUCAACUUGGAUCCAAAAUAAACGAUGACAAGUUUCAAA